AGGAAAUGUUCUUCCUUGAUGCUCUGAGCUCUCUAAGAAGUUACCACAAAACCAAACCCAUCAGAAGUUUGCAGGACGUCCUUGUUUAGAGCUGGGAAAUAAACCACGAAACAGCGCAAAGGAGAGUCCAGGCCUGCCAAUGCUUCCGCGAACUCCUCGCCCCGACCUCAUCCUUCUCCAGCUCCUACCUGCAGGCCUCAGGCCUCCUGACCUCCAGGCUCCUUACCCUCCCGCUGGCCUCUGCUCUACACUCAUCUUUGUGCCCUGCUUCCAAUCAUGCCAGGCCUCGGGGUCCCUGUCUCUAACUUCACCAUGAGACUCAGGUGCUUCUCUACACUCCACCCUCUCCAACACUGUUUGGAAUCUCAGGCUUGGUCCCAAUCCUAUGGGCUAACUUUGAAAAGACCGCUGUUCAUAAGGAGAGAGAAAGGAGGAAGAGAUGAGAAAGGAAGACAGAGAAAGAAACUCUAUGAUCACGGUUUUUCCAAAAUUCAUGGUUAAAUUAGAACUUACUAUGUGCAAAUAUAGAAGCACGGGUCCACAGAGUUCCAGAGAAUGAAUGCUGACGACUAAGCACCAGCCUCCACUCCCUGCCCCAUAGUGAGUAUCCCUCCUCUGUGUGCUCAUGCUGUGAAUCCCCCCCAUUCUACCACUUCUCCCCUCAUCACUGGCUUGCUGUAGGAUCAGAAGUUCCUUAAGAACAAGAACCUUCUCCCAGUGUAUCCCCAGCACCUAAUACAGAAGGUAAUAAGGAGGAGGCAUCUGCUAAACGCUUGUUGAAGGAGUGAAAUUGAGAGACCAGGAAGGGCCUGCAGGCAUUGUGGUGAGCCUGCCUGUUGUCCACGUGGCUGCAGCAAGCAAACAUGGGUUUUCCUUGGAAGGACUGUGGGCCAUCAACCCAUUAAUUGCCGAGUUGCUUCUAUCAGGGCAAGGCUGUGGAAUCCUGUUAUCCUAGACAAUGAGGUACAGGGUGCAAGCAGAUCUGUGUGCUGCUGUCUUCCGGUAAACGGACCAAGUUCUCACUUCCCAUCCUCCUCCCCAGUCUCACCCACCCGUGCUCCCAAGAGAGCAAUUCAUCAUGUCAGUGUCUGGUGUUUUCUUGAAGGCCUGUGCUAAAUAAAGUGGAUUGUUUAUAAAGUGGG
rnacentral:lncRNA from 1 species